UCACAGCCUGUUGCCGAGCAAAUGGGGAGUCUUGAGAUCGAGGCUCACGAUACAUAAAGUUACGAUCAACCGAUUUGUAUGUACCAGUACCUGGCCGGCGACGUACUCGGUAACGAGACGAUAGCCGGGCUGCCCGGGGAUGUCGGUCUGGGUGACGGUCACCCCCUGGUCACGCGGGAUAUCGCUGAACUGGCUGUGGCCGACGGCGCGGCGCUGCUCGUUGCGUGCGGCGGCUGACUCCAUGACGGCAGCCGCGCCGCCCUUCGGCGUGUGGCCGAAGACCAUGGACUCGGCAGUCUGCAUCAUGGCGGCGUCCCUGGGUGCGACGGAUCGGUCGGCCAAGUCUCCGCCCACCGGGAACACAUCACCGUACCUUAUGCCCGCGUCCUGUGCUUGGGGAGAUGAGAUUGGGAACGUCGGGCACGUACAAGGAUCCUAUUGACACGUGUGGGGCCGUAGGUACGCGGCGGGACGUCAUGGGACGGAAACGUGGAGUUUUGGGACCGGAAGGAAAUGGUGCAUGAGAUGCCGGCACGUGAAGCGGUGCACGAUAACUCGGCGGCGAUGUGGCGUGGGCGCGUCGACCGGUGCACGAUUAAUCGGUGGCGAUGUGGUGUGGGACGUCUUCUCUCUCGCACAGGGUUGAUUGCGGAUGCGGGUUUCUUCUUGCAUGUAUCGGAUCUAUUCGAUCCGCUUCAAACGUGGUGAGACACACGACCUCCGACCACAUCAAUGCAACCACGGAAUCUCAGGAGGAAUGCGAUGUCAUGUCAGAUGCAUCAUCGAGAACUCGGGAUAACGGUCGCUCCCCUCCUGUGCCAUCUGGGGUCGCAUGACCUGGCGUCGUC